GACGAACGCUGGCGGCGUGCCUAAUACAUGCAAGUAGAACGCUGAAGCGAGGAGCUUGCUCUUCUUGGCUGAGUUGCGAACGGGUGAGUAACGCGUAGGUAACCUGCCUGGUAGCGGGGGAUAACUAUUGGAAACGAUAGCUAAUACCGCAUAAAAUGGAUUAUCGCAUGAUCAUCCAUUGAAAGGUGCAAAUGCAUCACUACCAGAUGGACCUGCGUUGUAUUAGCUAGUUGGUGGGGUAACGGCUCACCAAGGCGACGAUACAUAGCCGACCUGAGAGGGUGAUCGGCCACGAUGGGACUGAGACACGGCCCAGACUCCUACGGGAGGCAGCAGUAGGGAAUCUUCGGCAAUGGACGGAAGUCUGACCGAGAAACGCCGCGUGAGUGAAGAAGGGUUUCGGAUCGUAAAGCUCGGUUGUAAGAGAAGAACGAGUGUGAGAGUGGAAAGUUCACACUGUGACGGUAUCUGACCAGAAAGGGACGGCUAACUACGUG
rnacentral:rRNA from 1 species